GACGAACGCUGGCGGCGUGCCUAAUACAUGCAAGUCGAACGAGAGCGACCGGUGCUUGCACUGGUCAAUCUAGUGGCGAACGGGUGAGUAACACGUGGGUAACCUGCCCAUCAGAGGGGGAUAACAUCCGGAAACGGAUGCUAAAACCGCAUAGGUCUUCGAGCCGCAUGGCUUGAAGAGGAAAAGAGGCGCAAGCUUCUGCUGAUGGAUGGACCCGCGGUGCAUUAGCUAGUUGGUGAGGUAACGGCUCACCAAGGCCGUGAUACAUAGCCGACCUGAGAGGGUGAUCGGCCACAUUGGGACUGAGACACGGCCCAAACUCCUACGGGAGGCAGCAGUAGGGAAUCUUCCGCAAUGGACGCAAGUCUGACGGAGCAACGCCGCGUGAGUGAAGGAGGUUUUCGGAUCGUAAAACUCUGUUGUUAGAGAAGAACAAGUGCUAGAGUAACUGUUAGCGCCUUGACGGUAUCUAACCAGAAAGCCACGGCUAACUACGUG
rnacentral:rRNA from 1 species